ACUUUGCAUCCUUUGUUUGUUUACUGUAUUGGUUUUAUUAAUCCGGUAGGAAAAACAGAGGCAGCCGGGGGCUGAGUGCUGUAAAUAGCAAGGAUUGUCUUCGUGUUUCACGUCUUUCAGCCCAAAGCUUAUUAAAAUGGCUUCUCUGCAAACAUUGCCAACUCCUCAAAUAAUACUGCGAUGGAUGCACAGAAGUGUUGCAUUGGAUGUGUCCCCAAAGCUGAAGGGACAGCCUGAGCCUCUUUCCACUCCUGCUGGUGUGGAACCAGAAUGUUUUCCCUUUAGCUCCUACAAAAUGUUAUCUCACGCUCUUUCAGCAUUUGUUUUCUGCCCAGGGGAUACAAUAGUUGAGUGCCAUGGCUUCACAUUCAUGGCUUUGGGUUUUAGAACCGUUGCUAAUGGUCACGGUGUGAGCACUGGAAUCAAUCCUUGGGUGUUUUACAGCUGUCCUGGGUGCACACAGGCUCUGGGGUGGGAAAAGCUGCCUGUCUGAUAUACAAAGGGAUGAGAAGCCCUGGGAGUAGUAAAUCAGAUGUGUUUUUUGGCAGCAUCGUAUCCAGGGUUAAUCUCAAAAAACCCAAAUUGCUAUAAAUAACACUUUAAUUGCAAAAAAUGAGAGCUGAUCCUUUCCCCUUGUUUUCCUUAAUUUGGAAGCUCAUUUAAAGUCCUCAGUUCCUUGUAAUUUUUCCUCACUAAGUUCUUCAGUAGCUUUGUUGUUAUUAUUUUUUUCCUUGUUUCCUUUUACUUUUCUUUAGGGUUUCCAGCAUUUAAUGACUUGCUUGGAUGAAGUGGUAGUGUGUGCUGGAAACGGUGCUGCAAGGACACACGUAGAGCCUCCAGCAGUGGCUGAGUUAGCAAUGGAAUGAAUCUCUCAGUGCUGCAGCCUCCUGGCUCCCUCAGGAUCUGGGUUGGUGUCACUAUGGGGAUGAGUCCAGAGAGGCCCUUGUUCUUCUGAGCGCCAUUUGAGUCUUGUUUCUCAGCCAUCCCAUGGUUCUGUGGUGACUCAGUGGUGGUUCUGGCCUCACCACGGUCCAUUUUUGCCAUGGUACAACCAAUGCUGGUACAAACAGCCUGGAAUUCAGUGCUUGGCUCUAUCAUCUAACAAUCUCCUGAAGACACGGACCACAGCGUUUGCUUUAACAACUAUCAGCCAAGCUGCAAACAAGCAGGAUGCAAAACACACUGAAACAGGAGCAUCUAAAAAGCAUCCAGAGAGGUCUGCAGAUCUAAUGGAAAUGGGAGCUGCUGUGCAUUUCCUCAGUGCUCUGCACACAUCUGGUGGUGAGGAGCCUCUCAGUUGGCCAAGGCGCCAUUCCAAGGAGGGAAGAAGCACCUUGCCCCUCUGCCAGCCCCUGCUCUCCCCUGUCUUGGUGUGGAAUGAGAGGAGAAUCAUGAGGGAAGCUUUUCAGGUCAUCACGGUGUGUCUGACUGGUGGAGCCUGUCUGUACUGUUAUUGUUUCCUGUAUAACAUUCUGAUGUUGGAAACGACUCCUAUUCUACUUCGUCUGUCGGUGUCUGCUUUUCUCAGACAGGUGGGGUGGGUGGAGUUUCUUUUUCUUCUCAGAUUAUUGUUUCUUCUUUAAGUUUUAAGUUUUUGAUUGUGGCACCAAGUAGUGUGGAUGAACUGCUGAACACCCAGACCUGCCCGUGUGUUCUGUGUAACAAGGGGCAGGCUGGGCUCCCUGCACACAGAGCAAUCUUGCUAUCGGUCUAACCAGUGGCCUAGUCUGCAACCCGCUCCCCUGGGUAAAAAAUGGCCUUGAUGCUACACUGCAAGAAUCCUGAGCAUUUAUCAUGGAGGGUGGCAAGGUGCUUCAAUGCAGUAAAAUAAGAGCAAAGAACCAGCUAAAAUAGGGUGAAAGUUUUCCCACAUCCUUGUAGCAUUCAAUCUGAAAUCUCUGUCUCUGAAGCUGUUGGUACUUAUCUGCAAGUUUGAGUUGAGAAUCAUGUAGCUGUGAGCCUGUUCCUCUAACAUCUUUGCCCCAGAUAGGAAGUCCUCUCUUCCAGGCACCAGCAGGGCUUGCUGCCUGCGUUCCUCCCUGCUUGUGUAAUUGAGCAAAGCAAAUGUAUUGCGCAGGGUCAGCUGUUGAUUAUUGCUCCUGGUGUGAGCUAAGGCUGCUUACAGUGUCAGCACAGAAAUACUGUUCACACAAACGGCACUAACUCUUGGGCCCUUGGGUACCUUUUGGUGCUAGGAAUUAAAUCAAGUGAAAGAGCAGCACAUCACCCUUCUCAGGGUGGGCAUAAAUUUCAGAGGCUGAGCUAAACUUUAGUUUGGAAAGUGCCAGGUUGUGUUGCUGGCUAUUGCUGGGAGGUGCACUUCUACCUAUGACCCCCCAGAAUUAAAGGAAAACCAAUUGUGGAGUUCCUCAGCAAGCUGGGGAAGGGCGCUGAUGUUUAAUUGUUUGCUGCUUGGUAAAGAACAGUUUUAUCAUUUCUGUCUUAUCAUUAAUAGCAGCCUGACCCAACAGAUCACACUGCUGGUGCUGUUCAGCUCAGAGUUCUUCUCAGCGCUAAAAUAAAGCACAGAGAAAAGCAAAGCUCAGCCAGCAACAUCUGCUGGAAGGGGAGCCAUCUGUAUCAUCUUGGUUUACCUGUGAGCAUGGCUGAGCUUUGUAGAUCCCGACUUUUCAUUCUCUCUGGUGACCCUUUGGCUCUCUGUCUCUCAUUGCCUGGUGCAAUUAUCAUUAAUUAAGGCAAGGUUCCUGCCCAAAGCUGAGCAGCUCUGGCAGUGGAUCAUUGGAUCAGUGGUCCACAGAGGGCAGAGGCUCCUCCACACAGCGCCCACUGUUGUUGGAAAAGCUCAUUGAAUAAACUGGGAAAGAAAAUCUAUCAGCCCGUGACAGGGAUUAUUUUAAUAACCUAAAAUCUUAUUGCUUCUGGAACAUCUGCUCUUUGGUGGAGCAAACAAAUAGGUUUUAAUUUCAUUGCCUUAACUUCAUGGAGAUAAAUUAGAGAAGUGCAAUAACUGAUAUUAUUUGGGAUAACAGCAUUAUUUUUUUUCACAUCGGUCACAAAAGGAAAACUGCAGGAAAUACAAAGCCAAUGGAAACACCUUCAAUCUCAGACCCUUGAAAUAUCUGCAUCUUAAUCUAGAACAGCUGGGAAAAGCAAACUUCACUUGACCUUUAAGUUUGCAGAGGAAAGCAGUUACCGAGUUACUCCUUUGGAGGUGACGCAGUGAGGUGGUGUUACUCAGUAAUAUUCCUUGUCUGUAUAGAGGCUAAUGUAUUCCCAUUGUAUUUAAUUAGUUUUGAACCUAUGUGUGUGAGAAAUGCAGUGCAGUGCUGUUAUUAAAAUUCAUGCUUUAUAAUAAUUAGCACAGUUUGUACAGGCUCUGAGAACUGCCAGCGAAAGGACUAUUAACUUUGGUUAAUGGUGGAACUGUCUCACCCGUGCUGUCAUUUAACCCAUUGCUGCAUUUUUAAGGGGAGAAAAGUUAUGUUUGUUCUCGAAGGCUACGUCAGGCCAGCCAUUAAUUACCAAAACUCAUUAAUUAUAACAGAUCGGCUGCUUUAAAAUCUCCUUAACUGAGCUUUUGUGAUGAUCAGUAGGAAAAUGGUGACAAACACAGGCAGGAACUGCCCUUUUUAAAUUGCUGGUGUUUUAUCUCUCAUCGAAUCCUUAUCUGAAACUGAGAAAAAUGACCAGUAAGGUUCAGAAACUCAUUCUUCAGAAGAUCAAAGUCAUAAAAUUCUGGUAAUUCCCUUCGAGACAGAAAUAGGAAUUACAGUUAAGAGUCUUCUCCUCGUGACUUCUUCUUUUUUCUUUCAUAUUAAAACUCUCUAAUUCUUCCCCAAAUCUCCCAUUGUAUUCCACUGUAAACUUAAUUUGCUGAGCUAUCAGGAAAAUCUCUUGGUUAAAAACUGCCUCUUGCAAGAGCAGCUGGAAAGCAGAAAUGCUGAAGAACCACAGUGAUGCCCCGAUUCCUCAUUGCUCCCAGCAAACAUGCCUGGAGCCUUUGGUCUUGGUUGUUGGUAAACCUUGGCCUCGUCUUGUGGUUCAGGCCUCACAGCUGGGUGUUUACAGGCAGAAUUUCAGCUGGGUUCUCUGAAUUUCUUGAAAGCCCUUUUGCCUUGAUUUGUUUUUGUCUCUUCUAGUGCCAGGUUAUUCCUAGAGCAACUCUCAUUGCUUUGCUUUGUCUCACGUUGCCAUGUGGCUGCAAUGUCACUAAUCUGUGUGGUAUCCACUCUCUGCCCUGCAGGUGUGCAUCCUUUCUGACUAAGUUCCCCUGGAAGCAGUUUUACCUUUGGGUUUGUUCUUUUUUGUUAAGAAGAAUUUUGCCCUGCAUCCAUAUUCUUAAUGGCUAUUUAGAGAGUGAAGUGUUUGGAUGUGCUUGAAAAUAGCCCUGGGCACCUAUUUGCCAUGUGUAGGUGCAUAAAGAUGUGAGAAAAAACCACCAUCUGGUGUCUCCAGGCUCAGAUCCUCAGAAAAUACACAGAAUACUGAAAGGAAAAGAGUUUAGGCACAUGCAUUUCUUCUGAUGAUCUGUUCAACCCUUUGUGUCUCUCUCAGAGGUGUGCAAAGAAAGAAUGCACAAAAGAAUAGGGAGGGCCCGUGUGUGUCUCUGCAUGUGUUCUGCAGAUGAUAGUAGGGAAGGUCAGCAGGAAGAAAGGAUUGCCUUCGAAAAAGUAUUCCACCCUCUAAUUUUUGAGCUCUUACGUUGUAAAAGAAGGAACUGAUGACCUGGUGCCUAAAUAGCAUUGCCAACUCAAAGGCCAUCGGUUCUAGGAACAAUUUUGAGGCACUUUGAGCCAUUUUUCCUUAUUUUUCUUUCAUCUUUUUGUAGUAAAAUUUCAGAUUUGAUCUUUUGUUUCCAAUAUUGGCUCCAAGAGAGGAUACGCUUUGCUGUGCCAGGACGCAAAUCGUUGUCAUUUUAGAAAACCAAAACCCAUUACCUGUGCUUUUCCUUAGGGCAGAAGACAGAAGCACUAAUACUAUAACAGAGUCUGUUUUCUGCUCAGUGCUUGGUAUGAUGGCUGGAAAUCCUGAUAUUUGGAGAUAAGGAGCACCCCACAUCUGGGAGGGUAUUCACACUGACAUCCGAGCAGCUCCCAAUGGCAACUGCAGGCACUUUGGCUUUUAUUUUGGUCACUGGAUUGAAUGGACCCUGAGAAACACUAGGGGAAAAAAUACCAAAACACUCCUAAGCCCAGAAGAAGCUGCAGAUGCUUCAAGCUGAUGCCUGGGAUGGGAAAUUAAUAGAGUUAUUAUUCAUUUCAAUGGUGGCUCUUUAAAUGUGGGGCAAUGCUUUGAUUCUGAGCCUGCUCUGUGAUCAUUUUCCUUUUUGUUAGACACUCCUUGAUGCUGGGCCAAUUCCCUGAGUUGCACGUUGUCAAUCAGGUGAUGAUCCAAAUGUUCGCCUACUUCUCCACCACUUUCUUUCUCUCUGACUCCAUCAGAAGCACAUGACACAUCCGUGGAUCAUGGGAGAGAGAGGCAGGUUUGCUCUCCUUUAUUUCUCUGCUGGAGGGGAAAAAAAAGACUCUCAGCUGUAUAAUCAUCUUCCUAUAAAAUAAAUUACUUUAUCUGUCUUAAUACUGUCACUCUUCAGUCCUCCAGUGAUCUACUUCUUCCAUCUGUGUGCAUAACUGAAAUCUUCUCUCCACCUACUCUAUGUACUUCCAAGUGUCAAAAUCCAGCCUCAAUCAUUGCUGUCAUCAGUCUCUCGUUCCUGAUGGGAUAGCAGGUGAAACAUCACUGUUCCUCAGACCUCUAUGGGUAAUUUCUGUGCUCGCUUUGCAGAGUUGACGUAAACUAUCAGAUAUAUGACCUAAAAGAGUUUUGUUUUGUUUUGUGGGUUUGUUUUUUUUUGUCAGCUUUCUGCUCUUGAAGCAGGUGGGUACUUUUGUUGCUUUCUGGGUCUUGUUUCCAUCAUGAAUCUUGCUGCAUAAUUUCAGGAGAUAACCACAUUACCCAAAUCCUAUGAAGGUUGACUUAUUGCUUCGUAUUGAGUAAUUCUGCAUGACUCACACUUUGUUCUCUGAUAUAAUUUUUACGCUCGUUUGCAGAAUAUUGUUGAGACAAUUGAGCUUACUUACCAACUGAAAUCACCAUCUUUUGUAACGAGACAGUACAAUCACUUUCCUCUUUCACAAAGCCACUCCAAGAACAAUGGGCCAACCCAUAAAUAACAACCAUUUGUUUUGCUUAGAAUAUGGAUUCUACUUUGCUAAAUGAAAUAACGGCAGGGAAAGAAAGAAACCUUCUUAGAAGCUGUGCAUCUUCCCAGAUAAAAUGUGACAACGUGCCUCUCCUGCUGAGCCGUGACCUACUUUGCUCACAAAAUGCUCUCUCUACCUUCCCUCAAACAUAAAGCUGUUGAAGCCCCAGGAAUUCUUCACCUCGGGUGAGAAGCUGUGAAGCGUCAGUCCCCACUGAAGGAUCCUCAAUGGUUUUCCUGUCUGGCAGCACCGUGCUGCUUAUCGCAUCCUCUGCUUCUGCCUCUCCACUCAUGGUGUUGCUGUUGGGAUGGGUUUUUAUCGCAGCAUACACCCCGUGACUUUGGAGCUGGGUGAAUUUUGCCAUCUUGUGAGAGGUUUGGGUACUUUUCUUUUGGACUGGGUUUAUUUUUGGUGAGCUCCAUUUAAAAUGUUUUGCUCUGCUGUAAUCUUUGUUUUAAUUCCCUCGUAUCUUUUUUACGACUGAGAAGGAAUCCUUUUCUUCUAGCUAAUAUAUUAUGUGCAUCAGAACUUGGUAGUGUGCCUGUUCAUGGAGAAACAGGAGUUGAGAUCGAGCAUCAACAGCUGUGGGAAUGACCUACACCAUAUGGGACAUACGGCAUUACCCAGACUGUGUUACAUAAGGAAUAAAAUCAUGUUGCUUUGCUGAAGUAUGCAAGGAGAGAGAACUAGAACAUGAUGACAAAUGACUGCUCCCAGUGAUAAAGGUCCUUAGAUGGGGUUUUUUUGGCUUUACAAGAAAUGCAUGCAAUCUACUUGUUAAAUUCAAGUUCAUUGCAUGGCAAAGGCAGCAUGCCUUGGUUUGGUACUUGUCUUAGUUAAGCAGAGCAGCACUUAAAUAUAGAAGCUGAGUUUGUCCAUCAGGUUUUGCAUUUAUGACUCAGAACUGAAGGUACUGAUUGCAGCAUGUAGACAUUAUCGCCCACUGGGUGAUGCUCAGGCUCGUCAUUUGGGGCAGAUUAUUAGAUUUUAAUGCCACAAAGCAUCACUACAGUCAGAAGGUAAAUAAAGAUUUGUUAGAUAGAAAAAUUGAUCCUGAUUGUUUAGCCAAAAAGAAGUCUGGGAAAUGAUACUAUACAACCAGUGUAUGUGCUUAUGGGUGUUGUGUUGCACCUUGGAGGUCUGCCUGCAAGAGCUGAUGGCCCCAACCUCUUGCUAACCCAAGGCAAACCUUUAAAUGCUGGGGAAUUAACAACAAACCAGAAGGAAAAUAGUUGAUUCUUUAGGUCUUGCUUUCUUUUAGCUAUGACUGGUACCUUUCAGGAUGACAAUUGCAUUAAACAACUGCUAAUGUCAUGCAAAAGGCUGGAUGUCAUCACCUGUGACACUCAGGAGGUUGGAUCACAGCUCCUUUCCUCUGCCAGGGGAAGUCUUUGAACCAUCUCAUCUCAUCUUAUGCCUCGCAUUUGCUGAUAUCAUGUAACGGGGUAUGUACUCUAUCCACUCUACAUUUCUGACUUAAUUCUUUAUCAGCACCGUCUCUCUUAUUCCCAGAGGAGAGCUGAGCAGAGCUGUGUGGAGCCCCUUCCCCUCUGCACAGGGAGUUCCAGUGCCUGCCUUGGCACUAGGGGAAAUGCUAAUGGUGUCAAACAUAAUACAUUAGCAAGACAGCUUGCAUGCAUGAUGAUUGAAGGACCUCAGUGUAAUUGACAAGCUGCCUCUGGGAGCUGAUCCUGUGUGUAAUUUUCUCCCUAAAUUUGGAACUUCCAGAUGCACUGAAUGGCCUUAUUGCACGUUUUUUGGCUUGAUGUUUGGGUACCAAUUUCUGUGUUUCUGAGGAGUAGAAGUAUUGUAUGUUAUGCUUAAUGGAGUCAUCUUUACAUGUGUAUGACUUUGUAAUGAAAGAAAGCUUAUAUAGAGUUAAGAUCGGGUUAUUUUUAGACAUUUUAUAAACAAUAUAGCCCCCCAAAUAAGUCCUGAAGUAUCCUGAAGUUACAAUAAGGUACAGCUUUCUAUGCUUUAAAUGAUCUGAAAUCCCCCUUUGCAAUAGUUCUCAAGCUCUUCACCUAGCACUUAUGAUUUCAUUUUGCCUUAUGCUUUGUCUGCUUGUGAUAUCGCCUUGCUUGCAUUUGAGAACUCAUCCUUGCAUGUGGAAAGAAGCUGCUUGCACGCCAUCUUCUAGGAAUAAAAGCUCUAAUCUGCUGCACUGGGUUUCAUAAAUAUUUUAUCAUUCAUUGUUUGGAAUAUUCUCCUGGUGAACCUCAGCAGCUGCUUUUCAUGAAGAUAAUUCCUGAUUCAAGAGCAAGGGUUUGCUUCCAUGUUCUGGGUAAGAACUGCAGCCCAGGUAACCCCAUUGCUGUGGGUGCAGGCAGCAUUUUUCCUCUCAUUGCUGCAUACUUCUUCCUAUUACCACACUUUGGUAUUGUGAGAGCUUUGCAUUGAAGAAAGAAGCAGUACGUAACAUAGAAAUCUCUGCACUUGCAGGAGCUUUAGUGCCUUCCAUGGCAGCAGGGCCAGAAAGUGAUGCCCUGUGCUGUGCUGCUCUGGAGUCCACAGGGUUCAGCAAGGAUCCUGGCACUGGGCUCCAGCUCCAACCCUACUACUGUCACUGGAAUUCCACCAUCACUGCUGAGUGACAAUGGUGUCAUUGGUUUCACUGCUGUAAGCAUGGGGGGACAAAAUGAAACCCUCAUUCCUAAACAAUGUGUUUCAGCCCUCCUUGUCUCUCCCCUGGAUUCUGAUGCCAGCUAGUUAGAGCGAUAUGAAUGGUGUCAUAAAGCUUGGGCUUAGCUGAAAGAUGGAAACAAAGUGUGUGUGUGUCUGAAAUGCCUCUCAAAAUGCCACUUUUCUGAUGUACAAUUUUCAUUCUAUUGAUUCAUUUAUUUAAUUUUUUUUACAUACACUUAUGUAAUUGUAAACUGUACCCAUUUACACCUUCCAGAAGGCAGUAACUUCGGGAGUGAACGCAGGGAUUAUUUUUAGUACGUAUUCAAGUUUAUUCAUGAUGAAAGGUAGUAGUUAUCUUUUGUAAUUUUAGAGUAGCUCUUUGAAUAAAAACAUGAGUAUAGCUCCAUGUUAACUGCCAUGUGACACUUGGGAGUGGGCUAAAACCUCUCUUAGGAUGCCAGAAUCUCUGCCUUUUUGCUUUGCAUCACCCCAGUAGGUUAAUACCCCACUGGUAGAGGUGUGUGUGUUGGGACCUGUGUCUAUCAGUGCAUACAACAUGAGCCAUCUUGCGUGCCCUGUGAUGGAAGUACCUCUAGGCCAGAAGGAAGGACAGUUUUCAGUGUUGGUUUUUGUGUGUGGAAAAGCUUAUUGAAAUUCAGCUAUGCUCUCAGAGUCCAAAUUCCAUACUGAGCCAUCACCAGAGGGGUUAUUAGAUAGAAAUCUGUGGGUCCUCAGCUGAGUGUUCUCCCCAGAGCCGAGUAAAUACCUCUGUGAGCCAAAUAGCGGAACCUUUUCUUCAGUUCACAGAUAACCGUGCAGGGGUUGUGAGUUUCUCAUGUUUUGGGAUCACUGUUCAGAUAAGCCUUAUGUUCUUGUUUCUGUUUUCUGAUGGAAUCAUUAAAAAAUGAGGAGCCUGCAAGAAGGAGUGUGAAAUUUGGGGGGGAAGGAGCUCAGAUGUUUGUCCAAGGAGGCACGCAGGGAUUUGGCUGGGACAGACUAACACAGAGGCACCAGCAAAAGGUCAGCAAAAAUGCACUUUGCAAAACGCCCUUUGUUCCCAAGUUUGAUUUCCAAGAAUUUGAAUAUCAGCCUCUGAUUUAGAGAUAACUGUGGGUCUGACACUAGAAGAAGCUGUGCUGUAAAAAUAAUAAGUGAGUCAUGAUGAUAAUGAGGCUAUCAUUAUGCAAUAACAAGCUAUCCUGGUUUCCUUUGCAGGCAGUGCACAACUGUACAUUGUGAUAUCCCAGAUAAUCUGGGUUGCUCCUAUCUCAGGGCCUGAACUCGUAUCUCUGUGCAAUACCAUCUUACAGAAGCAUUCUGCAGAAUAAUGACUCUCACUGUCUCCUUCACAAACAAAUGCAUCAUAAAAGCAUUUGUACUACCAAGUUCAUUGACAACAAGAGGUGUUUCAUGACAUAUUUAUUCUCCUAAUCUAUAUUUCUAUUCAGGGCUUUUUGAAAGUGUUUUCCAGCUUAGGAGUCCUAAUGAAUCAGUCCUGUGUCUGCUCAUGCUUCCUCAAUAAUAAACUCUAACUCCCUAGCAAUGUUUGCCAGCUGGAACUGCACAGUCACUGUGGAGCAGUGGAAGGCAGAGAUGGAGAAGUUCCUCAUGACAUACCCAAGUCACAGGAACAGGAAAGUGAUGUGGUUUGUAUUGUAUUCCCACUGCAGCAGCUGAGAGGUGCAGAAGGCCCAUUUAUGUGAGCACGUGCUGUUUUCUUUGACUGACAGCUGUGCACACUGGCAGGGAGGGCAUUGGACCCCAGCUGUUCUCAGCUCCAUCCCAAUGCUGUGCUCCUCCUGCCCAGAUAAGUGGUCACAUUUCAGUCUCUGCUGCUCUGACUCCAUGCAGGUGAUGGGCUGAGCAGUUUCCUAAUGUGCAAAUGUCAGAACCUGUGAAUGCUUACACUUCUGCAGGCAUUUCCCUUGAGAGUUCCCUGAUCCUCAAUCCAUUUGCCUGGAGAUAAUCUGCUGCUUUUUUUCUUUUUUCUUUUUUGAGCUUUGGCACUGGAGUAUACAAACGUUCCUUGUUGUCUUUCAGUGGUUGUUGUGAAUAGAAGAGCUUCAGAUCAGCCUUGCUUACUAUCCACAGCUCUUACACCUCAGAAAUAUGUGAAGGUGGUUGCUGCCUCCAGGCCCACAGAACCUUCCCCAGGCUGUUAAAUCUAUCACUUCCCUUCCCCAUAAGCAAGAGAUCUGCAGUGGUGGCUGCUAGCAAUGUAAAGCAUUUCAUCAUCUUGCUAAUAUAUUCACUGAGCUGGUAAGUGAUCAAUUGAGGCCAACUCCUUGCUUCUCUUUCUACCUGCAUCUUUCCUUUUUCUCAAAGACACCAUCUCUCACUCUGCAUCACUAUUCAGUGAUUGCUGUGCUUUCACUGCUGGUCUCUGUACUCCAUUUUUAUGCAUUUCUGAUACAGAGUUUUGAGAGGAAUUAGCUAAAUUUGGAGAAACAUUACUACUGUGAAUCAGACCCAUUAACUCCCGGAUGCUUUAUUCUUUUGUUCGGCUUCUUUGCAAAUAUAUGUGGUGGGAAGUGACAUGGUGAGAGAGCUCCAAAAGUAUCAGGGUUUCCCCAAUUAGAUGCGUGUUUUCAUCAGCAGGACCCAAUUACUCAAGAAAAGAAAGGUGGAGUCGAAUUCAGUGACAUGUUUGAGUGGGCAUGGUGGUGAUAGGUUGAUGGUUGGACUGGAUGAUGGUCUUAGUGGUCUUUUCCAACCCUUAUGAUUCUGUGAUCUGCUGGCAGUAUGUGGAUGGUAGCUCUUGGACUUUGGAGAGGUGUAUUAAGUGUUGUUUUGUGUUUGAGAUUCAAGACAGGGAGAGAAAACCCAACUUGUGCAUUUGCAGCUAAGAUAAAGGGAAGCUCCUGGCAGUGGUGCCAGAAUGUUUCUAAGUUGCCUCUUACUCUGCCUUUUAAGUUUCAUGAGAAAUAAACUGCUAUAUUCUUUUUGUGAAUUAACAUAUGGUGGCUGUAUGUGUAUUAAAAUUCUUCACCAUUUACAGUC